rnacentral:lncRNA from 1 species
AGUAGAGAGGCUAUAUACAGUAGAGAGGCUAUAUACAGUAGAGAGGCUAUAUACAGUAGAGAGGCUAUAUACAGUAGAGAGGUUAUAUACAGUAGAGAGGCUAUAUACAGUAGAGAGGCUAUAUACAGUAGAGAGGCUAUAUACAGUAGAGAGGCUAUAUACAGUAGAGAGGCUAUAUACAGUAGUGAGGCUAUAUACAGUAGAGAGGCUAUAUACAGUAGAGAGGUUAUAUACAGUAGAGAGGCUAUAUACAGUAGAGAGGCUAUAUACAGUAGAGAGGCUAUAUACAGUAGAGAGGUUAUAUACAGUAGAGAGGCUAUAUACAGUAGAGAGGUUAUAUACAGUAGAGAGGCUAUAUACAGUAGAGAGGCUAUAUACAGUAGAGAGGCUAUAUACAGUAGAGAGGCUAUAUACAGUAGAGAGGUUAUAUACAGUAGAGAGGCUAUAUACAGUAGAGAGGCUAUAUACAGUAGAGAGGCUAUAUACAGUAGAGAGGCUAUAUACAGUAGUGAGGCUAUAUACAGUAGAGAGGUUAUAUACAGUAGAGAGGCUAUAUACAGUAGAGAGGCUAUAUACAGUAGAGAGGUUAUAUACAGUAGAGAGGUUAUAUACAGUAG